AUACGGAGGAUGCGAGCGUUAUCCGGAUUUAUUGGGUUUAAAGGGAGCGUAGGUGGGAUAUUAAGUCAGCUGUGAAAGUUUGGGGCUCAACCUUAAAAUUGCAGUUGAUACUGUCAGUCUUGAGUGUGCAUGAGGUGGGCGGAAUUUGUGGUGUAGCGGUGAAAUGCUUAGAUAUCACGAGGAACUCCAAUUGCGAAGGCAGCUCACUGGGGCAUAACUGACGCUGAUGCACGAAGGUGUGGGUAUCAAACAGGAUUAGAUACCCUGGUAGUCCACACAGUAAACUAUGAAUACUCGCUGUUUGCGAUAUACAGUAAGCGGCCAAGCGAAAGCAUUAAGUAUUCCACCUGGGGAGUACGCCGGCAACGGUGAAACUCAAAGGAAUUGACGGG
rnacentral:rRNA from 1 species